rnacentral:rRNA from 1 species
GACGAACGCUGGCGGCGUGCUUAACACAUGCAAGUCGAACGAAGUGGCGCACGGGUGAGUAACGCGUGAUCAACCUGCCCUUCAGAGGGGGAAAACAGUUGGACACGACUGCUAAUACCGCAUAUCGAAGCAGGGAGUUGCGUCUGAUUUGCUAUUUGGAGGGGUAAUGGCGUACCUAGGCUACGAUCCCUAGCUGGUCUGAGAGGAUGAUCGGCCACACUGGGACUGAGACACGGCCCAGACUCCUACGGGAGGCAGCAGUGGGGAAUAUUGCACAAUGGGCGCAAGCCUGAUGCAGCCAUGCCGCGUGUAUGAAGAAGGCCCUAGGGUUGUAAAGUACUUUCAGUCGGGAGCGUUACCGACAGAAGAAGCACCGGCUAACUCCGUGCCAGCAGCCGCGGUAAUAC